ACGAACGCUGGCGGCGUGCCUAAUACAUGCCAGUUGAGCGAUGAAGAUUGGUGCUUGCACCAAUUUGAAGAGCAGCGAACGGGUGAGUAACGCGUGGGGAAUCUGCCUUUGAGCGGGGGACAACAUUUGGAAACGAAUGCUAAUACCGCAUAACAACUUUAAACAUAAGUUUUAAGUUUGAAAGAUGCAAUUGCAUCACUCAAAGAUGAUCCCGCGUUGUAUUAGCUAGUUGGUGAGGUAAAGGCUCACCAAGGCGAUGAUACAUAGCCGACCUGAGAGGGUGAUCGGCCACAUUGGGACUGAGACACGGCCCAAACUCCUACGGGAGGCAGCAGUAGGGAAUCUUCGGCAAUGGACGAAAGUCUGACCGAGCAACGCCGCGUGAGUGAAGAAGGGUUUCGGAUCGUAAAACUCUGUUGGUAGAGAAGAACGUUGGUGAGAGUGGAAAGCUCGUCAAGUGACGGUAACUACCCAGAAAGGGACGGCUAACUACGUG
rnacentral:rRNA from 1 species